AUACGGAGGGUGCGAGCGUUAAUCGGAAUUACUGGGCGUAAAGCGUACGUAGGCGGAUUGGUCAGUCUGAUGUGAAAGCCCCGGGCUUAACCUGGGAACUGCAUUCGAUACUGUCAGACUAGAAUAUGGUAGAGGGUAGUGGAAUUCCUGGUGUAGCGGUGAAAUGCGUAGAUAUCAGGAGGAACAUCAGUGGCGAAGGCGGCUACCUGGACCAAUAUUGACGCUGAGGUGCGAAAGCGUGGGGAGCAAACAGGAUUAGAUACCCUAGUAGUCC
rnacentral:rRNA from 1 species